GCCUGGGUAGCUCAGUCGGUAGAGCAUCAGAC
rnacentral:piRNA from 2 species